rnacentral:rRNA from 1 species
GAUGAACGCUGGCGGCGUGCCUAAUACAUGCAAGUCGAACGAAACUUCUUUAUCACCGAGUGCUUGCACUCACCGAUAAAGAGUUGUGUGGCGAACGGGUGAGUAACACGUGGGCAACCUGCCCAAAAGAGGGGGAUAACACUUGGAGACAGGUGCUAAUACCGCAUAACCAUAGUUACCGCAUGGUAACUAUGUAAAAGGUGGCUAUACUACCGCUUUUGGAUGGGCCCGCGGCGCAUUAGCUAGUUGGUAGGGUAAAGGCUUACCAAGGCAAUGAUGCGUAGCCGAAUUGAGAGGUUGAUCGGCCACAUUGGGACUGAGACACGGCCCAAACUCCUACGGGAGGCAGCAGUAGGGAAUCUUCCACAAUGGGCGAAAGCCUGAUGGAGCAACGCCGCGUGGGUGAAGAAGGUCUUCGGAUCGUAAAACCCUGUUGUUAGAGAAGAAAGUGCGUGAGAGUAACUGUUCACGUUUCGACGGUAUCUAACCAGAAAGCCACGGCUAACUACGUG